CAACCCAAAGGUCACUUCUAUAUGAUACAUCGUAUCGAAUUCCUUAUAUAAAUUCAAGCAAAAGAAAAAAGAACAAAACAAAAGCUAAUGAAAACCUCUUCACCAUUUAGGUACAUAUCUAAAAGUCAUUAAUCUUCGUAAGUGUUACACAUCAUAAUAUGCAGUUGUAAUUGAUCAGAGAAAAAUCAAGCCAAACAAUCAAAGAUAACAAUUAACUGAGCAUGAAUUCAGCAAUUAAAGAAAACUCUAAACAAGUAACAUCUCAUGUUUUAUCACAGAAGACAAAUUAAAGUUAAUCAGAGUUUAGUUUCAAAGUCAGAUAGGCAGUAG
rnacentral:lncRNA from 1 species